UUUUUUUUAGAGCGCUGUACAGCUGAACACAUGACGCAUGGUGACACACGAAUAACAUUUCUAACACUUGGGAAAUUAACAACAUCCUACGUUUAAAAUGGACUAGAAGAUGGUGAUAAUUUUAAUAGAUUUAUGCAAUAUUGAAGUACUGCAGAUCAAACAAGGCAUGCUGAUGCACGAAUUAACAUUUCUGUCACUUGGGAAUGUCACAACAUCGUACGUUGAAAAUGGACUAGAAGAUACUGAUAAUAAUAACGGUUUUAUUCAAUAGCGCUGUACAGCUGAACACAUGACGCAUGGUGACACACGAAUAACAUUUCUAACACUUGGGAAAUUAACAACAUCCUACGUUGAAAAUGGACUAGAAGAUGAUUGAAGUACUGCAGAUCAAACAAGGCAUGCUGAUGCACGAAUUAACAUUUCUGUCACUUGGGAAAGUCACAACAUCCUACGUUGAAAAUGGACUAGAAGAUACUGAUAAUAAUAACGGUUUUAUUCAAUAGCGCUGUACAGCUGAACACAUGACGCAUGGUGACACACGAAUAACAUUUCUAACACUUGGGAAAUUAACAACAUCCUACGUUGAAAAUGGACUAGAAGAUGGUGAUAAUUUUAAUAGAUUUAUGCAAUAUUGAAGUAUUGCAGAUCAAACAAGGCAUGCUGAUGCACGAAUUAACAUUUCUGUCACUUGGGAAAGUCACAACAUCCUACGUUGAAAAUGGACUAGAAGAUACUGAUAAUAAUAACGGUUUUAUUCAAUAGCGCUGUACAGCUGAACACAUGACGCAUGGUGACACACGAAUAACAUUUCUAACACUUGGGAAAUUAACAACAUCCUACGUUGAAAAUGGACUAGAAGAUGGUGAUAAUUUUAAUAGAUUUAUGCAAUAUUGAACUAUUGCAGAUCAAACAAGGCAUGCUGAUGCACGAAUUAACAUUUCUGUCACUUGGGAAAGUCACAACAUCCUACGUUGAAAAUGGACUAGAAGAUACUGAUAAUAAUAACGGUUUUAUUCAAUAGCGCUGUACAGCUGAACACAUGACGCAUGGUGACACACGAAUAACAUUUCUAACACUUGGGAAAUUAACAACAUCCUACGUUGAAAAUGGACUAGAAGAUGGUGAUAAUUUUAAUAGAUUUAUGCAAUAUUGAACUAUUGCAGAUCAAACAAGGCAUGCUGAUGCACGAAUUAACAUUUCUGUCACUUGGGAAAGUCACAACAUCCUACGUUGAAAAUGGACUAGAAGAUACUGAUAAUAAUAACGGUUUUAUUCAAUAGCGCUGUACAGCUGAACACAUGACGCAUGGUGACACACGAAUAACAUUUCUAACACUUGGGAAAUUAACAACAUCCUACGUUGAAAAUGGACUAGAAGAUGGUGAUAAUUUUAAUAGAUUUAUGCAAUGUUCGUGUAAUGGGUAUUGAUUGUAAAUGAUAGUAAAUUAAUAAGAGUGUAUCAAUUAAAAUUUGUUAAUGAUCUGAAUAAAGAAAUGGUAAACACCUCACAAUUGUAAUCUUCAUUCUUAAAAUUUGCCUUAGCUGUAAAAAUCUUUUCAAUAUUACUCCGUUUAAUUCAUGAUUAAUUUUUAAUUUAAUCAUUACCCAAAGUUAUGUAAUUUAAACUGUUUAGUUUUAAUAGAUAUAUACAAAUUGUUUUAUUCAUUUCCAAUUCGAGAGUAUCAUUUGCAGAUCAGAGUUAUAUUUUAAGAAUGGUUUAGCCAUACUAUGUUAAAUAACAGCAAUUUUAAGUUGUGUUCAUGUGUAUUCUAUGGUUUCCCUUAUUUGACAUUCAUAUUCUACAAAACAUUCAAAUUGAUUAAAUUCAUUUUAUCUUUUAUGGCUUAUCAAAACGAUUAUCUCUUAUCAUCUGUUAUAAGUUUAUAUUUCAUAUCAUUUUGCAGUUUUACGUUCGUGUUUGUAUUAAAGUUUCAACUGCAAAUUGUUUUCGUGUAUUUUGUAAUAUUAAUGAGGUUUAUCUGUUAGUUUUUGUUGGAUUGUUUCAAUUUAUGAAAUUGUCAGUGUUCUGCAUGUAUUAGUUGUUAUAUUAAGUUUUUCGUUGUUCUCAUGAUUGAACUAUUGCAGAUCAAACAAGGCAUGCUGAUGCACGAAUUAACAUUUCUGUCACUUGGGAAAGUCACAACAUCCUACGUUGAAAAUGGACUAGAAGAUACUGAUAAUAAUAACGGUUUUAUUCAAUAGCGCUGUACAGCUGAACACAUGACGCAUGGUGACACACGAAUAACAUUUCUAACACUUGGGAAAUUAACAACAUCCUACGUUGAAAAUGGACUAGAAGAUGGUGAUAAUUUUAAUAGAUUUAUGCAAUAUUGAAGUAUUGCAGAUCAAACAAGGCAUGCUGAUGCACGAAUUAACAUUUCUGUCACUUGGGAAAGUCACAACAUCCUACGUUGAAAAUGGACUAGAAGAUACUGAUAAUAAUAACGGUUUUAUUCAAUAGCGCUGUACAGCUGAACACAUGACGCAUGGUGACACACGAAUAACAUUUCUAACACUUGGGAAAUUAACAACAUCCUACGUUGAAAAUGGACUAGAAGAUGGUGAUAAUUUUAAUAGAUUUAUGCAAUAUUGAACUAUUGCAGAUCAAACAAGGCAUGCUGAUGCACGAAUUAACAUUUCUGUCACUUGGGAAAGUCACAACAUCCUACGUUGAAAAUGGACUAGAAGAUACUGAUAAUAAUAACGGUUUUAUUCAAUAGCGCUGUACAGCUGAACACAUGACGCAUGGUGACACACGAAUAACAUUUCUAACACUUGGGAAAUUAACAACAUCCUACGUUGAAAAUGGACUAGAAGAUGGUGAUAAUUUUAAUAGAUUUAUGCAAUAUUGAACUAUUGCAGAUCAAACAAGGCAUGCUGAUGCACGAAUUAACAUUUCUGUCACUUGGGAAAGUCACAACAUCCUACGUUGAAAAUGGACUAGAAGAUACUGAUAAUAAUAACGGUUUUAUUCAAUAGCGCUGUACAGCUGAACACAUGACGCAUGGUGACACACGAAUAACAUUUCUAACACUUGGGAAAUUAACAACAUCCUACGUUGAAAAUGGACUAGAAGAUGGUGAUAAUUUUAAUAGAUUUAUGCAAUAUUGAACUAUUGCAGAUCAAACAAGGCAUGCUGAUGCACGAAUUAACAUUUCUGUCACUUGGGAAAGUCACAACAUCCUACGUUGAAAAUGGACUAGAAGAUACUGAUAAUAAUAACGGUUUUAUUCAAUAGCGCUGUACAGCUGAACACAUGACGCAUGGUGACACACGAAUAACAUUUCUAACACUUGGGAAAUUAACAACAUCCUACGUUGAAAAUGGACUAGAAGAUGGUGAUAAUUUUAAUAGAUUUAUGCAAUGUUCGUGUAAUGGGUAUUGAUUGUAAAUGAUAGUAAAUUAAUAAGAGUGUAUCAAUUAAAAUUUGUUAAUGAUCUGAAUAAAGAAAUGGUAAACACCUCACAAUUGUAAUCUUCAUUCUUAAAAUUUGCCUUAGCUGUAAAAAUCUUUUCAAUAUUACUCCGUUUAAUUCAUGAUUAAUUUUUAAUUUAAUCAUUACCCAAAGUUAUGUAAUUUAAACUGUUUAGUUUUAAUAGAUAUAUACAAAUUGUUUUAUUCAUUUCCAAUUCGAGAGUAUCAUUUGCAGAUCAGAGUUAUAUUUUAAGAAUGGUUUAGCCAUACUAUGUUAAAUAACAGCAAUUUUAAGUUGUGUUCAUGUGUAUUCUAUGGUUUCCCUUAUUUGACAUUCAUAUUCUACAAAACAUUCAAAUUGAUUAAAUUCAUUUUAUCUUUUAUGGCUUAUCAAAACGAUUAUCUCUUAUCAUCUGUUAUAAGUUUAUAUUUCAUAUCAUUUUGCAGUUUUACGUUCGUGUUUGUAUUAAAGUUUCAACUGCAAAUUGUUUUCGUGUAUUUUGUAAUAUUAAUGAGGUUUAUCUGUUAGUUUUUGUUGGAUUGUUUCAAUUUAUGAAAUUGUCAGUGUUCUGCAUGUAUUAGUUGUUAUAUUAAGAUUUUCGUUGUUCUCAUGAUUGAAGUAUUGCAGAUCAAACAAGGCAUGCUGAUGCACGAAUUAACAUUUCUGUCACUUGGGAAAGUCACAACAUCCUACGUUGAAAAUGGACUAGAAGAUACUGAUAAUAAUAACGGUUUUAUUCAAUAGCGCUGUACAGCUGAACACAUGACGCAUGGUGACACACGAAUAACAUUUCUAACACUUGGGAAAUUAACAACAUCCUACGUUGAAAAUGGACUAGAAGAUGGUGAUAAUUUUAAUAGAUUUAUGCAAUGUUCGUGUAAUGGGUAUUGAUUGUAAAUGAUAGUAAAUUAAUAAGAGUGUAUCAAUUAAAAUUUGUUAAUGAUCUGAAUAAAGAAAUGGUAAACACCUCACAAUUGUAAUCUUCAUUCUUAAAAUUUGCCUUAGCUGUAAAAAUCUUUUCAAUAUUACUCCGUUUAAUUCAUGAUUAAUUUUUAAUUUAAUCAUUACCCAAAGUUAUGUAAUUUAAACUGUUUAGUUUUAAUAGAUAUAUACAAAUUGUUUUAUUCAUUUCCAAUUCGAGAGUAUCAUUUGCAGAUCAGAGUUAUAUUUUAAGAAUGGUUUAGCCAUACUAUGUUAAAUAACAGCAAUUUUAAGUUGUGUUCAUGUGUAUUCUAUGGUUUCCCUUAUUUGACAUUCAUAUUCUACAAAACAUUCAAAUUGAUUAAAUUCAUUUUAUCUUUUAUGGCUUAUCAAAACGAUUAUCUCUUAUCAUCUGUUAUAAGUUUAUAUUUCAUAUCAUUUUGCAGUUUUACGUUCGUGUUUGUAUUAAAGUUUCAACUGCAAAUUGUUUUCGUGUAUUUUGUAAUAUUAAUGAGGUUUAUCUGUUAGUUUUUGUUGGAUUGUUUCAAUUUAUGAAAUUGUCAGUGUUCUGCAUGUAUUAGUUGUUAUAUUAAGAUUUUCGUUGUUCUCAUGAUUGAAGUAUUGCAGAUCAAACAAGGCAUGCUGAUGCACGAAUUAACAUUUCUGUCACUUGGGAAAGUCACAACAUCCUACGUUCAAAAUGGACUAGAAGAUACUGAUAAUAAUAACGGUUUUAUUCAAUAGCGCUGUACAGCUGAACACAUGACGCAUGGUGACACACGAAUAACAUUUCUAACACUUGGGAAAUUAACAACAUCCUACGUUGAAAAUGGACUAGAAGAUGGUGAUAAUUUUAAUAGAUUUAUGCAAUGUUCGUGUAAUGGGUAUUGAUUGUAAAUGAUAGUAAAUUAAUAAGAGUGUAUCAAUUAAAAUUUGUUAAUGAUCUGAAUAAAGAAAUGGUAAACACCUCACAAUUGUAAUCUUCAUUCUUAAAAUUUGCCUUAGCUGUAAAAAUCUUUUCAAUAUUACUCCGUUUAAUUCAUGAUUAAUUUUUAAUUUAAUCAUUACCCAAAGUUAUGUAAUUUAAACUGUUUAGUUUUAAUAGAUAUAUACAAAUUGUUUUAUUCAUUUCCAAUUCGAGAGUAUCAUUUGCAGAUCAGAGUUAUAUUUUAAGAAUGGUUUAGCCAUACUAUGUUAAAUAACAGCAAUUUUAAGUUGUGUUCAUGUGUAUUCUAUGGUUUCCCUUAUUUGACAUUCAUAUUCUACAAAACAUUCAAAUUGAUUAAAUUCAUUUUAUCUUUUAUGGCUUAUCAAAACGAUUAUCUCUUAUCAUCUGUUAUAAGUUUAUAUUUCAUAUCAUUUUGCAGUUUUACGUUCGUGUUUGUAUUAAAGUUUCAACUGCAAAUUGUUUUCGUGUAUUUUGUAAUAUUAAUGAGGUUUAUCUGUUAGUUUUUGUUGGAUUGUUUCAAUUUAUGAAAUUGUCAGUGUUCUGCAUGUAUUAGUUGUUAUAUUAAGAUUUUCGUUGUUCUCAUGAUUGAAGUAUUGCAGAUCAAACAAGGCAUGCUGAUGCACGAAUUAACAUUUCUGUCACUUGGGAAAGUCACAACAUCCUACGUUGAAAAUGGACUAGAAGAUACUGAUAAUAAUAACGGUUUUAUUCAAUAGCGCUGUACAGCUGAACACAUGACGCAUGGUGACACACGAAUAACAUUUCUAACACUUGGGACAUUAACAACAUCCUACGUUGAAAAUGGACUAGAAGAUGAUUGAAGUAUUGCAGAUCAAACAAGGCAUGCUGAUGCACGAAUUAACAUUUCUGUCACUUGGGAAAGUCACAACAUCCUACGUUGAAAAUGGACUAGAAGAUACUGAUAAUAAUAACGGUUUUAUUCAAUAGCGCUGUACAGCUGAACACAUGACGCAUGGUGACACACGAAUAACAUUUCUAACACUUGGGAAAUUAACAACAUCCUACGUUGAAAAUGGACUAGAAGAUGGUGAUAAUUUUAAUAGAUUUAUGCAAUAUUGAAGUACUGCAGAUCAAACAAGGCAUGCUGAUGCACGAAUUAACAUUUCUGUCACUUGGGAAAGUCACAACAUCCUACGUUGAAAAUGGACUAGAAGAUACUGAUAAUAAUAACGGUUUUAUUCAAUAGCGCUGUACAGCUGAACACAUGACGCAUGGUGACACACGAAUAACAUUUCUAACACUUGGGAAAUUAACAACAUCCUACGUUGAAAAUGGACUAGAAGAUGGUGAUAAUUUUAAUAGAUUUAUGCAAUAUUGAAGUACUGCUGAUCAAACAAGGCAUGCUGAUGCACGAAUUAACAUUUCUGUCACUUUGGAAUGUCACAACAUCUUACGUUGAAAAUGGACUAGAAGAUACUGAUAAUAAUAACGGUUUUAUUCAAUAGCGCUGUACAGCUGAACACAUGACGCAUGGUGACACACGAAUAACAUUUCAAUCACUUGGGAAAUUAACAACAUCCUACGUUGAAAAUGGACUAGAAGAUGAUUGAAGUACUGCAGAUCAAACAAGGCAUGCUGAUGCACGAAUUAACAUUUCUGUCACUUGGGAAAGUCACAACAUCCUACGUUGAAAAUGGACUAGAAGAUACUGAUAAUAAUAACGGUUUUAUUCAAUAGCGCUGUACAGCUGAACACAUGACGCAUGGUGACACACGAAUAACAUUUCAAUCACUUGGGAAAUUAACAACAUCCUACGUUGAAAAUGGACUAGAAGAUGAUUGAAGUACUGCAGAUCAAACAAGGCAUGCUGAUGCACGAAUUAACAUUUCUGUCACUUGGGAAAGUCACAACAUCCUACGUUGAAAAUGGACUAGAAGAUACUGAUAAUAAUAACGGUUUUAUUUAAUAUUGCUGUACAGCUGAUCACAUGAUGCAUGGCGACACACGAAUAAUAUUUCUAACACUUGGGAAAUUCAUAACAUCCCACGUUGGAAAUGGACUAGAAGAUGAUGAUAAUUUUAAUAGUUUUUUCAAUGUAUGUGUAAUUGGUAUUGAAUGUAAUUGAAAAUCAAUUAACACUAGUGUUAUAAUAAUUUAGUGUCAUGACA